UACGUAGGGUGCAAGCGUUGUCCGGAAUUAUUGGGCGUAAAGAGCUCGUAGGCGGUCUGUCGCGUCUGCUGUGAAAACUCAGGGCUUAACCCUGAGCUUGCAGUGGGUACGGGCAGACUAGAGUGCGGUAGGGGUGACUGGAAUUCCUGGUGUAGCGGUGGAAUGCGCAGAUAUCAGGGAGGAACACCGAUGGCGAAGGCAGGUCACUGGGCCGCAACUGACGCUGGAGGAGCGAAAGCCAUGGGGAGCGAAC
rnacentral:rRNA from 1 species